rfam:Hyaloperonospora arabidopsidis Emoy2 Contig172.3, whole genome shotgun sequence.
GCUCUUAUGGUGUAAUGGUCAGCACUCUGGACUCUGAAUCCAGCGAGCGAUCCGGGUUCAAAUCCCGGUAGGAGCU